rnacentral:rRNA from 1 species
AACGAACGCUGGCGGCAUGCCUAACACAUGCAAGUCGAACGAGACCUUCGGGUCUAGUGGCGCACAGGUUCGUAACGCGUGGGAACCUGCCCUUAGGUUCGGAAUAACUCCCCGAAAGGGGUGCUAAUACCGGAUAAUGUCUUCGGACCAAAGAUUUAUCGCCUUUGGAUGGGCCCGCGUUGGAUUAGCUAGUUGGUAGGGUAAAAGCAUACCAAGGCGACGAUCCAUAGCUGGUCUGAGAGGAUGAUCAGCCACACUGGGACUGAGACACGGCCCAGACUCCUACGGGAGGCAGCAGUGGGGAAUAUUGGACAAUGGGCGAAAGCCUGAUCCAGCAAUGCCGCGUGAGUGAUGAAGGCCUUAGGGUUGUAAAGCUCUUUUACCCGGGAUGAUAAUGACAGUACCGGGAGAAUAAGCUCCGGCUAACUCCGUG